UGGGGUUUGAGGUAUCAAUGUCACAGCGGAAUUGUUGUAAGAUUCUCCUGGAAGUCCACCACGUGCAAAAUUCGAUGAUGUCAGGAUAAAUGAUGUGUUUGAUGAUGAAGAGACGAUGUUGAUGCAUUCGGAACGGAAGAUUGCAGAGACGACUGGCUCGAUCGUGAAGUCGCUGAAUGCAUGAUCCAAUCGAGCCAAGGAUUAAUAUCUUGGCUGAGUUUCUGUUAAAAACGAUUGUACCUUUUGCUUCUCAUCUAUGAUAAAAAUCUAAGUUGUCAAUUGACACUUAUACCUAACCUCUUUAGCGCGAACAUGAUAUUUUCAAUUUCUUUCAAAAACAAAAUUUGACAUAUAUUGUCAUUAAUUCGAAACUCACGAGAACUCACCUGACGAACAAUGUUCUCUCGAAACUAGGUAAAGGUUUUCCUCGUACCUUUGCGAGAGUAUUCCAAUAAUAUUCCGAAAUAUUCUCAGGCAUAACAUCGUACACUUGCGAUUACUAAGCCAAACCAAGUUCAUGUGAAACUCGGUUUAAACAAAUGGCAAUGUGAUUGAAUGAAAAGAAAAAAAAAAGAAAAAAAAGAAAUACAUAAAAGACGAGACGAAUUGAUGAUCGAAAGUAACGGGUCAACCAAAUUGACAGGUUGCUGUUAUAGUGAUCGAAGAACGUAUAAAUUCUCUUGCAUGUUCAUUCGACGGUUUUCUUGAAAUAUAUGUGUUAAUUAUCACAUGAAAUAUAUAUAUUAAUAUCAUAAAGUAGAGAUUUCGUCUAAUAAUAUUAAAAAGGACAAAAAAAAAUACUGGAAAAGAAAAACGUUUUGAUGAUGACAAUAGUAAUUAAUAAUUAAACAGCUCGAAUAUAUAUAUUAAACGCGUUAUUGAACUCGAAGACCGACUUGAAAACGUAAAGAAAAAAAAACGGAUGGCAGACGGCCAUCGGUUCAUAAACAAAUUUUUUUUUCUCGUUGGUAACAAAGAAACGAAGAAAGAAAAAAAAAUUUGACUGCCUUUAGAUGGGCGAGUCACAUGUCUUUAUGGGGAAAUAUCCUAAUAUCUCUCUAUCUCUGCUUGUAGAUUUUUAUUAAAAUUAACAAGAUGCGAUAAAAUACAUGUGAACGUCGACGAUAAUUUUUUUUCUACAAAAAAAAAAAAGGGGUGAAAUAAAUGUAAUUAA